rnacentral:rRNA from 1 species
GAUGAACGCUGGCGGCGUGCCUAAUACAUGCAAGUCGAGCGAACAGACGAGGAGCUUGCUCCUCUGACGUUAGCGGCGGACGGGUGAGUAACACGUGGAUAACCUACCUAUAAGACUGGGAUAACUUCGGGAAACCGGAGCUAAUACCGGAUAAUAUAUUGAACCGCAUGGUUCAAUAGUGAAAGACGGUUUUGCUGUCACUUAUAGAUGGAUCCGCGCGGCAUUAGCUAGUUGGUAAGGUAACGGCUUACCAAGGCAACGAUGCGUAGCCGACCUGAGAGGGUGAUCGGCCACACUGGAACUGAGACACGGUCCAGACUCCUACGGGAGGCAGCAGUAGGGAAUCUUACGCAAUGGGCGAAAGCCUGACGGAGCAACGCCGCGUGAGUGAUGAAGGUCUUCGGAUCGUAAAACUCUGUUAUUAGGGAAGAACAAAUGUGUAAGUAACUAUGCACGUCUUGACGGUACCUAAUCAGAAAGCCACGGCUAACUACGUG